AGUAGCGGCGAGCGAAGCGGGAAGAGCCCGGUGUGAAAAUCUCUUCGGAGAAUUGUAUUCGAGUGUUCUUUGGGUGGUCAGUGCGAGCAAGUUGCUUGGGAUAGCACGCCAUGGAGGGUGAGAGCCCCGUCCAUCUCGCACAGGAUCCAUCCGCACAAGGACGCUUCAACCGAGUCGGGUAGCUUGGGAAUGCUGCUCUAAUUGGUGGUAAAUCUCAUCAAAGGCUAAAUAACGGUGGGAGACCGAUAGCGAACAAGUACCGUGAGGGAAAGAUGGAAAGAACUUUGAAAAGAGAGUGAAAAGAACUUGAAACCGUCACGGGGGAAGCGGAUUGCGUGAGUGGUGGUGUCGCUUGUUCAGCGCCUUUGGCGUGCAUUCUGGCGAUACCUUGUCGUUGUGGCUGGUUGGUCCGUGAUUUUGACGGACUGGCUGGUGAGGGCUCCCUUUACAGGUGAGGACGACGACAAAAUGACGCAAUACGACCCGUCUUGAAACACGGACCAAGGAGUCUAGCACGGCUGCGAGUCGAAGGGUGUAAAACCCAUGGGCGCAGUGAAAGCGAUUUAAAUUGCAAAUUGGGGAGGCGUGGCGUUUUUAACAAUAUGUCCUACCUUGAGCAUUUGUGCUGGGACCCGAAAGAUGGUGAACUAUGCCGGAGUAGGGCAAAGCCAGAGGAAACUCUGGUGGAGGCUCGUAGCGAUGCUGACGUGCAAAUCGCUCGUCGAACUUGGGUAUAGGGGCGAAAGACUAAUCGAACCAUCUAGUAGCUGGUUCCCUCCGAAGUUUCUCUCAGGAUAGCGGGCCGACAUAUGUUGUUUUGUGCGGUAAAGCGAAUGAUUAGUGCAUUUGGGGUCUGAUAGACUUCGGGCGAUUCUCAAACUUUAAAUGCGCAAGGGGGUGGCUGCUUAAUUGAGCCUACUCUUUGAAAAACGUCGGCCCUGUGGGCCACUUUUGGUAAGCAGAACUGGCGAUAAGGGAUGAACCUUAAGCGCGGUUAAGGCGCCGCAUUGCCCGCUUAUAGACCCCACAAAAGGUGUUGAUUCAUUUAGACAGCAGGACGGUGGCCAUGGAAGUCGGAAUCCGCUAAGGAGUGUGUAACAACUCACCUGCCGAAUGAAUUAGCCCUGAAAAUGGAUGGCGCUUAAGCGGGCAGCCGACACCGCGCCGUUCCGGCGAGACGAUGCCGGGAUGAGUAGGAGGGCGUGGCGGUCAGUGAGGCAGGCGAGGGUGCAGACCCCGCUGAAACGGCCGCUAGUGCAGAUCUUGGUGGUAGUAGCAAAUAUUCAAGCGAGAUCCUUGAAGGGCGAAGCGGGGAAGGGUUCCACGCAAACAUUGAUUGGGCGUGGGUGAGUCGUUCCUAAGCCGAGUGGCAAUUGCUAAGUAGCGGCGAAAGGGAAGCGGGUUAAAAUUCCCGCACACGGAUAUGGAGGCGGCGACGCAAGCAGAGGCAAAUACGCUGGCGAGGGCGCUGGGCAGAGUUGUCUUUUCUGUUUGACCGGCAUCGCGCUGUGUGGAAUCCGCUUAUCGGGAGAAACACGCGCG
rnacentral:rRNA from 1 species